UACGUAGGGUGCGAGCGUUGUCCGGAUUUAUUGGGCGUAAAGAGCUCGUAGGCGGUCUGUCACGUCGGCUGUGAAAUCCCGAGGCUCAACCUCGGGUCUGCAGUCGAUACGGGCAAACUAGAGUAUUGCAGGGGAGACUGGAAUUCCUGGUGUAGCGGUGAAAUGCGCAGAUAUCAGGAGGAACACCGGUGGCGAAGGCGGGUCCUGCUGGCGAAUACUGGACGUGAGGAAGCGAAGGCGUGGGGAGAACG
rnacentral:rRNA from 1 species